UGCCAGCCGCCGCGGUAAUACGGGGGGGGCUAGUGUUAUUCGGAAUAAUUGGGCGUAAAGGGUAUGUAGGCGGUUUACUAAGUUGAAAGUGAAAUCCCAUAGCUUAACUAUGGAACUAUUUUCAAAACUGGUAAACUAGAGUUCAAAAGAGGAUAGUGGAAUUUCUAGUGUAGGGGUAGAAUCCGUAAAUAUUAGAAGGACCUUCAAAGGCGAAAGCAACUAUCUAGGUUGAUACUGACGCUGAGAUACGAAAGCGUGGGGAGCAAACAGGAUUAGAUA
rnacentral:rRNA from 1 species